rnacentral:ribozyme from 1 species
AAAAAAAAAAAAAAAAAAAAAAAAAAAAAAAUAAAAAAAAAUGCCUGUCUUUCAUGA